UACGUAGGUGGCAAGCGUUGUCCGGAUUUACUGGGCGUAAAGAGCGCGCAGGCGGUCGUUCAAGUCGCGUGUGAAAGCCCCCGGCUCAACUGGGGAGGGUCACGCGAUACUGAUCGACUCGAAGGCAGGAGAGGGUAGUGGAAUUCCCCGGUGUAGUGGUGAAAUGCGUAGAUAUCGGGAGGAACACCAGUGGCGAAGGCGACUACCUGGCCUGUUCUUGACGCUGAGGCGCGAAAGCUAGGGGAGCAAACGG
rnacentral:rRNA from 1 species